AUUGAACGCUGGCGGCAGGCCUAACACAUGCAAGUCGAACGGUAGCACAGAGAGCUUGCUCUCGGGUGACGAGUGGCGGACGGGUGAGUAAUGUCUGGGAAACUGCCCGAUGGAGGGGGAUAACUACUGGAAACGGUAGCUAAUACCGCAUAACGUCUUCGGACCAAAGUGGGGGACCUUCGGGCCUCACACCAUCGGAUGUGCCCAGAUGGGAUUAGCUAGUAGGUGGGGUAAUGGCUCACCUAGGCGACGAUCCCUAGCUGGUCUGAGAGGAUGACCAGCCACACUGGAACUGAGACACGGUCCAGACUCCUACGGGAGGCAGCAGUGGGGAAUAUUGCACAAUGGGCGCAAGCCUGAUGCAGCCAUGCCGCGUGUAUGAAGAAGGCCUUCGGGUUGUAAAGUACUUUCAGCGGGGAGGAAGGCGAUGGAGUUAAUAGCUUCAUCGAUUGACGUUACCCGCAGAAGAAGCACCGGCUAACUCCGUGCCAGCCGCCGCUGUAA
rnacentral:rRNA from 1 species